rnacentral:lncRNA from 1 species
GUAAAAAUAAUCUGCCCAAAUAACAAAAUAAAUAUCACAAAUUUAACCUAUAGCAUCAGAUAUGUACGAAAAUUUAAAACUCUUGUUAUUGACAAAGUUGGAGAUAUAGUCAUGUCAUUACUAUCUCAAUGAAUCAUCCCUUGUCACCAGCAGGACUUCCAAAUAGAUUUAUCAAAAUAUUUUUAGAAGUUGAAGAUUUAUGUCAAAAGAAACUAUUAUAGUUCCUAGGCUUACAGGUUGUUAAGGUUGGAAAGAUAACAAGGACUUUCUGAGUACAAGAACAAGCUAGUAGAGCUCAUUACGGUACAGGAUGUCCAAAUCCUCCAUGACUUCCCUGGUGAAUGUGGUGGUGGUACCAUUUGCACAACUCUUUUAUAACAAACCAGAAAGAGAGCAACAAGAUCGACAAAAACAAUAUCGACAAAUGGUCUCAGUAUCAAUAGAGAAAUUGAUGUGCUAGCCUGAUACAUACUCAAUGAGCCGCCUAUCGAGCUCAAAAUGUUGGCAAAGAAGUUUCUGCAAAUGGAGGAGGCACAAGGAACAACU